UUUCCGUAGGUGAACCUGCGGAAGGAUCAUUAUCGAAUUUCGAGGGGAAGGAAGAUGAGGAGUGGAGACUGUCGCUGGCUUUCCCGCCUGGGGAGCAUGUGCACGCCUUGCUUUUCGUUGACCUUUCUCCUACUCUCACACCUGUGCACCCAUUGUAGGUCCUCGAAGGAGGAUCUAUGUUUUUAUCAUCACACGCAUCGUAUGUCCAUAGAAUGUAACAUGAUCGUCGAUCGACCUCGCGGUCGGGUGGCGGUCUAAAUAGAUAAAUACAACUUUCAGCAACGGAUCUCUUGGCUCUC
rnacentral:misc_RNA from 1 species